rnacentral:rRNA from 1 species
UACAGAGGGGGCAAGCGUUAUUCGGAAUUAUUGGGCGUAAAGAGCUCGUAGGCGGCUUGUCACGUCGAUUGUGAAAGCCCGAGGCUUAACCUCGGGUCUGCAGUCGAUACGGGCUAGCUAGAGUGUGGUAGGGGAGAUCGGAAUUCCUGGUGUAGCGGUGAAAUGCGCAGAUAUCAGGAGGAACACCGGUGGCGAAGGCGGAUCUCUGGGCCAUUACUGACGCUGAGGAGCGAAAGCGUGGGGAGCGAACAGG